rnacentral:ribozyme from 1 species
GUCCACAACCAAUGGUGCUGCCAGGAGGGCGGCGAUUCUUCGAAAUGAUUCGCUAUUUCUUGCUGGGCAUCUUGCAUCUUUGCACAAGUUCUUCUCUUCCGCUGAACGAACG